rnacentral:rRNA from 1 species
UACGUAGGUGGCAAGCGUUGUCCGGAUUUACUGGGCGUAAAGCGCGCGCAGGCGGACUGAUCAGUCUGGGGUGAAAUCUCCCGGCUCAACUGGGAGCGGUCCCUGGAUACUGUCAGUCUUGAGAGACCUAGAGGAGAGCGGAAUUCCCGGUGGAGUGGUGAAAUGCGUAGAGAUCGGGAGGAACACCAGUGGCGAAGGCGGCCGGCUGGGGGUGACCUGACGCUGAGGCGCGAAAGCGUGGGGAGCGAACCGG